rnacentral:sRNA from 1 species
UAGCUCAGUUGGUAGAGCAGUUGACUUUUAAUCAAUUGGUCGCAGGUUCGAAUCCUGCACGACCCACCAAUCUUUAAUGAUGGUAACUGGUAGAAAAGUGAAGGAUAACGUUGCGUCAGCAACGGCCCGUAGGGCGAGGCGAAGCCGAGUCAUCCUGCACGACCCACCA